GUGUCAGCCGCCGCGGUAAUACGGAGGGUGCAAGCGUUAAUCGGAAUUACUGGGCGUAAAGCGCGCGUAGGUGGCUUGAUAAGCCGGUUGUGAAAGCCCCGGGCUCAACCUGGGAACGGCAUCCGGAACUGUCAGGCUAGAGUGCAGGAGAGGAAGGUAGAAUUCCCGGUGUAGCGGUGAAAUGCGUAGAGAUCGGGAGGAAUACCAGUGGCGAAGGCGGCCUUCUGGACUGACACUGACACUGAGGUGCGAAAGCGUGGGUAGCAAACAGGAUUAGAUACCCUGGUAGUCCACGCCGUAAACGAUGUCGACCAGCCGUUGGGUGCCUAGAGCACUUUGUGGCGAAGUUAACGCGAUAAGUCGACCGCCUGGGGAGUACGGCCGCAAGGUUAAAACUCAAAUGAAUUGACGGGGGCCCGCACAAGCGGUGGAGCAUGUGGUUUAAUUCGAUGCAACGCGAAGAACCUUACCUACCCUUGACAUCUACAGAAGCCGGAAGAGAUUCUGGUGUGCCUUCGGGAACUGUAAGACAGGUGCUGCAUGGCUGUCGUCAGCUCGUGUUGUGAAAUGUUGGGUUAAGUCCCGUAACGAGCGCAACCCUUGUCCUUAUUUGCCAGCGAGUAAUGUCGGGAACUCUAAGGAGACUGCCGGUGACAAACCGGAGGAAGGUGGGGACGACGUCAAGUCAUCAUGGCCCUUACGGGUAGGGCUACACACGUGCUACAAUGGCCGGUACAAAGGGCUGCGAGCUCGCGAGAGUCAGCGAAUCCCUUAAAGCCGGUCUCAGUCCGGAUCGGAGUCUGCAACUCGACUCCGUGAAGUCGGAAUCGCUAGUAAUCGUGAAUCAGAAUGUCACGGUGAAUACGUUCCCGGGCCUUGUACACACCGCCCGUC
rnacentral:rRNA from 1 species